rnacentral:rRNA from 1 species
CAGCCAAAGGAGCAAUCCGCUGAAAGAUGGGCUCGCGGCCGAUUAGCUAGUUGGUGGGGUAACGGCCCACCAAGGCGACGAUCGGUAGCCGGACUGAGAGGUUGAUCGGCCACAUUGGGACUGAGACACGGCCCAGACUCCUACGGGAGGCAGCAGUGGGGGAUAUUGCACAAUGGAGGAAACUCUGAUGCAGCGACGCCGCGUGAGGGAAGACGGUCUUCGGAUUGUAAACCUCUGUCUUUGGGGAAGAAAAUGACGGUACCCAAAGAGGAAGCUCCGGCUAACUACGUGCCAGCAGCCGCGGUAAUACGUAGGGAGCGAGCGUUGUCCGGAAUUACUGGGUGUAAAGGGAGCGUAGGCGGGCGAGAAAGUUGAAUGUUAAAUCUACCGGCUUAACUGGUAGCUGCGUUCAAAACUUCUUGUCUUGAGUGAAGUAGAGGCAGGCGGAAUUCCUAGUGUAGCGGUGAAAUGCGUAGAUAUUAGGAGGAACACCAGUGGCGAAGGCGGCCUGCUGGGCUUUAACUGACGCUGAGGCUCGAAAGCGUGGGGAGCACACAGGAUUAGAUACCCUGGUAGUCCACGCUGUAAACGAUGAUUACUAGGUGUGGGGGGACUGACCCCUUCCGUGCCGCA